rnacentral:rRNA from 1 species
GUCUAUGGCCAUGCUACCCUGAACAAGCCCGAUCCCAUCUGAUCUCGGAAGCUAAGCAGGGUCAGGUCUGGUUAGUAUUUGGAUGGGAGACCGCCUAGGAAGACCAGGUGCUGUAGGUG